AAAAUAGUACAUUUCGAUGCUAGUGCGGAAAGUAUGUCAUUACUUCACGAGUACCGAGACGACGGGACGAGUGAAGAAUGACAUUUCCGCACGUGUAUCGAACGACGUUUUUUAAUACAGUUGCGAAAAAAUAAGAAAAACAACAAUUUUUUUUUCAAAUGCAUGUUCUAUAAGUCAUAAACAGUUGUAAAUAUAAAACAUUGUACUAUUAUUACCUAAGUAUCGUUGUUUACGAUUAUUUAAAACAAUAUCGAAUGUUGCCUUUGGAAACUUAAAACAUACUUGCAGUAAGAAAAAAACGCCUCUUCUUUGACAAUACUUUGACAGGCGUUUGGCGUUUCGGCAGCUAUUCCGUUCCAUUCAGACAACUUAUUAAGAACGGUUUUUCAAUAUUCAAUAUUAAAAAAUAAACGUAUUAUAAUGAUGAAGAGGUAAGUAAUAAAAUAUGAAAUAUGUAUAUUUUUGGUAUUCUUACAUUAACAGUAGGUUUUUAUGUUGAUUACGACGUUUAAAGGAAACUAAUAUUAACAUUCAUCAAUAAGUAGUCGUGAAUUGGAACAAGUAUA